rnacentral:miRNA from 1 species
UAAGUGCAACUUUGAUAAU